GGGCUCACCUUGGGAACACAUAUACUAAAAUUGUAACAAUAUAGAAAAAAUUAGCAUGGACCGUGUGCAAGAAUGACAUGAAAAUUCAUGAAGCAUUCUAUAUAUUU